AGGACAACCUGGCCGGCGCCCAGCUGUGCAACAGGCACUUCGCGUUAAAUCGACUGCGUCUUCGGCUGGUUUCUGCCUCCAGACCCGCUUUACGGUGCUUUCUUUUUGCCCCAAAAGAGGAGACAAGCUGAACUCCUGACUUUAAGAAUGUUGUGGAAGUAAGGCAUUACCGGAAGGAACUCUUGGUAGCUGGGGAUGCAUUCGGAUGAUUUCUUAUAACUAUCUUUAUUUUGACAUCUUAAAAAAAAAUCUGGCCAGUCACUUCUUACUGUCCUUCAUUUAAGGGCUAUUAACCACCUCUGACCGCUGGGUCCUAUGAAUCUUUGGCAUGAACCUUCGGAAAGUUUUCAAGCGGAGAUGGGGCGAACUUGAUUGGAAUUGUGUAAAAAGAAGACAGAUGUGUGUUUUUUUCACACUGACAACGUGGCCAGGGGCCAAGUGAUCCUGGACUGGUCAUGGUCUGUCGACCCGGGUUCCUUUGUCGCCGGCGAUUUUGCCCCCGACCUUUCCUGGUGGGUUUGGUGGUGGCGAUCUGUCUCUUUUACCAGACCCUGACACUCCGAGGGACUAAGAAGAUUGCAGCGGACGUCUCUGGCACUGUCCCACACACACCCUCUCAAACUCAGGCUAGCAGAUGUGAAGAAGGAUACCGGCAGGACAAACAAUGCUUCCUUCUCUCUGCGAGUACCCAGGAAACCAGGAAGGUAAGUCUGAGUUGAGUUUAUCCUGGGCGUCUGUGGUCGGCCUCUCUCUCCUUUCUGCAAAACUAAAAUUAACUUCCAUGUGGUCCGAAUGGGAGCCAGAGUGAAAACAGUGCGGAGUGACCCGGUGACUGGGAGAGGUAUUACAUAAGCUGCCAAACUUCCUAAACCUACUUAAAGAGUUCUGCCCUUUAUCCUUUAGAGGCUACCUUCAUUGCAGUGAGGGAAAAUCGCUUUUAAGAUGUUAGAAGUCUACGAGAGCUGAGGAUUUACACAUCAGAAACAAAAGUCAGUUUUAAAAUCUG
rnacentral:lncRNA from 1 species